AACAUGAGUCUUGCAGAAGUUCCUGCCGGAACUAGAAGCAUGAGAGCAGUUUUAAAGGGACCAAGGAGACAGAUCUGAUUUCUUUGCAGGUAUUGAAAAUACUU